rnacentral:tRNA from 1 species
AUUCAAAUAGUUUAAUUUAAAAUUUUAAUUUGUGGAAUUAAGGAUGUAAUUUUAUAUACUUUGGGUA